rnacentral:rRNA from 1 species
AGAGUUUGAUCCUGGCUCAGGAUGAACGCUGGCGGCGUGCCUAAUACAUGCAAGUCGAGCGAACGGACGAGAAGCUUGCUUCUCUGAUGUUAGCGGCGGACGGGUGAGUAACACGUGGAUAACCUACCUAUAAGACUGGGAUAACUUCGGGAAACCGGAGCUAAUACCGGAUAAUAUUUUGAACCGCAUGGUUCAAAAGUGAAAGGCGGUCUUGCUGUCACUUAUAGAUGGAUCCGCGCUGCAUUAGCUAGUUGGUAAGGUAACGGCUUACCAAGGCAACGAUGCAUAGCCGACCUGAGAGGGUGAUCGGCCACACUGGAACUGAGACACGGUCCAGACUCCUACGGGAGGCAGCAGUAGGGAAUCUUCCGCAAUGGGCGAAAGCCUGACGGAGCAACGCCGCGUGAGUGAUGAAGGUCUUCGGAUCGUAAAACUCCGUUAUUAGGGAAGAACAUAUGUGUAAGUAACUGUGCACAUCUUGACGGUACCUAAUCAGAAAGCCACGGCUAACUACGUGCCAGCAGCCGCGGUAAUACGUAGGUGGCAAGCGUUAUCCGGAAUUAUUGGGCGUAAAGCGCGCGUAGGCGGUUUUUUAAGUCUGAUGUGAAAGCCCACGGCUCAACCGUGGAGGGUCAUUGGAAACUGGAAAACUUGAGUGCAGAAGAGGAAAGUGGAAUUCCAUGUGUAGCGGUGAAAUGCGCAGAGAUAUGGAGGAACACCAGUGGCGAAGGCGACUUUCUGGUCUGUAACUGACGCUGAUGUGCGAAAGCGUGGGGAUCAAACAGGAUUAGAUACCCUGGUAGUCC